rnacentral:rRNA from 1 species
AUGGGCUUCCAGGUGGCGGCCGUCGUGCCAUCGCCGUGCCCGCCCUCGACUUCCUCGCGGUCCCCGUUCCUCGGUGGCGGCGGCGGCUGCGGCAUGCUCGCGAGAUCCUGGGCGCCCGGCGGUCUUGUGUCGCGCCGGCGAGGCGAGGGGCGGCCAGCGAGGUGCGCGCUGAGUGCCAGCAUAGAUGGCGUGGGCGGCGGGGACAUGGAGUUCUUGAGGCGGAUAGAGGAGCUGGCGGCGUCGGCGGGGGUGCGGACGGCGGGGUGCGGGUGGCCGCCGAGCCUGGAACAGAGCGCGAGCAGCGUCGGGCUGCCCCUGUCCCUUAGGAUUCUGAAGCGGAAGAAGCAGCAGCGGCGGCAGCAGGUGCCGCCGCGGUCGCGGUGGGACGAGCGGCUGAGCCUGGGCUCCGCCGGCGAGUCGGUGGGCCGCGCCUUCUCCUCCAUGGUGCUCAUCGUGCGGGAGCUGCAGAGCUUCGCGCUGCAGCAGAUGCUCUGCGACGACCUGCAGGCCGUCCUGGCGCGCGCCCACGGCGAGAUGCAGGACUCGUUCGUCUGGCUCUUCCAGCACAUCUUCGCCGGCACCCCGGCGCUCAUGCUCUCCCUCAUGCUCCUCCUCGCCAACUUCACCGUCCACUCGAUGAGCAACAGCGUCGCCGCCGCCGCCGUCGCACCGACCCCGCCCGCUGCCCCGGCUGCUACGGUGGUCGACACCCAGCACACCGAGCCAUCCAACCCGCGGUUCGACGCGGCUUCCGUCAAGACGUUCUCUGCUGGCCGCACUGCUUCGGUCGGUGGGGGUAGCGGGGGUGGCGGCGAUGUCCGGCCCGUCGCGGGAGCUUCCGGCGACGACCGGGGGGACGAAUCCCGCUACAGUCUAAGCCGCGUCGCACCACAGCAACUAACGCCGCUGGCGGGGACGGGCGUGGAGAAUGUCGUGCCCGGCGCCGCCGCCGUGGACGAGCAGGCCAUCUGGGAAAGGAUGGUCGCGGAGGCCUCGAGCAUGCAGGCCGAUGCGCGCGCCGACGAGUUGACGGACCCGGACGUGCUGGGGAACCUGGUCGCGCCGGUGGAGGCGGAGAUCGAGACGGAGGACGUCGGCGAGUACGCGCGGACGGAGCAAAGGUACAAGCUGGCCGUGUCCGAGGAGCCCAACAACUCGCUCAUCCUCGCCAACUUCGCCCAAUUCCUCUACAUCACGCGGAAGGACCACAAGCGGGCGGAGCACUACUUCGAGCGGGCGGUGCGGGCGGAGCCGACGGACGCGGAGGCGCUGAGCCGGUACGCGACGUUCCUGUGGAAGGCGCGGGACGACGUCGAGGCGGCGGAGGAGACGUACCAGGAGGCCAUCGCGGCCGACCCCGGCAACGCGCACUACGCCGCUGCGUACGCGCAUUUCCUCUGGAACACCGGCGGCGAGGACACGUGCUUCCCCCUCGACUGA